AGCAACAAAGAGACUAUCAGUACCACCCUAUAUAUAAAAUAAAGUCGAAGAAAUAUAUUUUUAAGGACUACAAUCAAUAUAACACCCCAACUAAAAUGUCUAGAAUAUUUAGUCAGAAUUUACAUAAUUGAAUCCGAGUACAUUAAAUUACAGAAUGGCUUCUAAUUACAAAAAUUCACAACGGAAGGAAACUAAUGGAAACAACAGAUUAAUACAAAAACAAGGAAGAAGACAAAUCUUCUCAUCGGAUAAUCCAAGCUCAAUCUCCACCAUCAGUUCCCACCUGGUCCUUGCUCUAGUAAACCUGACUAUCUGAAAAAAACAUAAAUGGAGUGGGUUGAGACUAUUAAGCCUCAGUGAGCUCCUACUACCCAACUACUGGUGACUACACCGGGUAAUUGAAACUAAUAGUUUCUAUUCUUGUCUUAAACCUUAAUGCAUAAUUUUGAUAAUUCAUCAGUAGUUCACUUAUAAUUCAUAUUCAUUAAA
rnacentral:lncRNA from 1 species